rnacentral:rRNA from 1 species
GUCGAGCGGUAGCACAGAGAGCUUGCUCUCGGGUGACGAGCGGCGGACGGGUGAGUAAUGUCUGGGAAACUGCCUGAUGGAGGGGGAUAACUACUGGAAACGGUAGCUAAUACCGCAUAACGUCGCAAGACCAAAGUGGGGGACCUUCGGGCCUCAUGCCAUCAGAUGUGCCCAGAUGGGAUUAGCUAGUAGGUGGGGUAACGGCUCACCUAGGCGACGAUCCCUAGCUGGUCUGAGAGGAUGACCAGCCACACUGGAACUGAGACACGGUCCAGACUCCUACGGGAGGCAGCAGUGGGGAAUAUUGCACAAUGGGCGCAAGCCUGAUGCAGCCAUGCCGCGUGUGUGAAGAAGGCCUUCGGGUUGUAAAGCACUUUCAGCGGGGAGGAAGGCGUUAAGGUUAAUAACCUUGGCGAUUGACGUUACCCGCAGAAGAAGCACCGGCUAACUCCGUGCCAGCAGCCGCGGUAAUACGGAGGGUGCAAGCGUUAAUCGGAAUUACUGGGCGUAAAGCGCACGCAGGCGGUCUGUCAAGUCGGAUGUGAAAUCCCCGGGCUCAACCUGGGAACUGCAUUCGAAACUGGCAGGCUAGAGUCUUGUAGAGGGGGGUAGAAUUCCAGGUGUAGCGGUGAAAUGCGUAGAGAUCUGGAGGAAUACCGGUGGCGAAGGCGGCCCCCUGGACAAAGACUGACGCUCAGGUGCGAAAGCGUGGGGAGCAAACAGGAUUAGAUACCCUGGUAGUCCACGCCGUAAACGAUGUCGAUUUGGAGGUUGUGCCCUUGAGGCGUGGCUUCCGGAGCUAACGCGUUAAAUCGACCGCCUGGGGAGUACGGCCGCAAGGUUAAAACUCAAAUGAAUUGACGGGGGCCCGCACAAGCGGUGGAGCAUGUGGUUUAAUUCGAUGCAACGCGAAGAACCUUACCUGGUCUUGACAUCCACAGAACUUUCCAGAGAUGGAUUGGUGCCUUCGGGAACUGUGAGACAGGUGCUGCAUGGCUGUCGUCAGCUCGUGUUGUGAAAUGUUGGGUUAAGUCCCGCAACGAGCGCAACCCUUAUCCUUUGUUGCCAGCGGUUCGGCCGGGAACUCAAAGGAGACUGCCAGUGAUAAACUGGAGGAAGGUGGGGAUGACGUCAAGUCAUCAUGGCCCUUACGACCAGGGCUACACACGUGCUACAAUGGCAUAUACAAAGAGAAGCGACCUCGCGAGAGCAAGCGGACCUCAUAAAGUAUGUCGUAGUCCGGAUUGGAGUCUGCAACUCGACUCCAUGAAGUCGGAAUCGCUAGUAAUCGUAGAUCAGAAUGCUACGGUGAAUACGUUCCCGGGCCUUGUACACACCGCCCGUCACACCAUGGGAGUGGGUUGCAAAAGAAGUAGGUAGCUUAACCUUCGGGAGGGCGC